UUAUUGAUAGUCAGCGGUGACCGUGAACUGGGCGCUGUAGACGCCCGGAGCCUGGUUGGCGCCCACGUCGAUGGU
rnacentral:tRNA from 1 species